GAUGCUCUAGGGACUUUGGACAGCUGUGAAGGUGGCUAUCUCGGGUGCAUAUCAUGGAAUGAGGGUCCGCUUCUAGAAAGCCCAGGGCUACGAGGCAGAACUCCAGCAGAGGCUGUCUUCAGUGGAGAGAGAACUCACAGGAAAGCAGGAUUCCAGAAGACCACCUGAAUCACCAGUUUCUCCCUGUGCGGCUCACCCUGGAGGACAACCACGGCCACACCCUGCCCACCCUUUCUGUAUUUCCACUGGGACAGCUCUGCUAGCAGCGGGGACCUUCGGAAGGAGGUGGGGCGCGUCUCAGGGAUUCCAGGAUCCGCACCAUCAGCCCAGCCUCCCUCUCCAGCGCCAGUCCCAGCCCAGGAAAUCUUUACCAAGACAGCUCAUCAGCCCUUCAGAGUCAAAACAUUCGAGGAUCAACCAUAUCAUCUUCUUUCCAAAACCAACAUCCUCUUUGGAAUUCCUUAUCUUACCUCUCCAACCCAUUUAGGCUCAAACUCUCUGAUUCAUUCUCUUUGCCCCAAAAUAUCAAGGCUUGUUGGUUUUAAUAAAGACACUGUGCCUCCGUUCA